rnacentral:rRNA from 1 species
GACGAACCGUGCGAACGUUGUUCGGAAUCACUGGGCUUAAAGGGCGCGUAGGCGGGCAUUCAAGUCGGUGGUGAAAUCCUCCAGCUUAACUGGAGAAGAGCUGUCGAUACUGGAUGUCUCGAGGGGGUGCAGGGGGUCUGCGGAACUUCGGGGUGGAGCGGUGAAAUGCGUAGAGAUCCGAAGGAACGCCGGUGGCGAAAGCGGCGGACUGGGCACCUUCUGA